ACGUAUCUCUCUUCCUCUCUUCUCACCAUAAAUGUCUUUAUAUUCACGUACUCCCAUUCCUCACACACGCAUAACCCUUUCUUCUCUGUCUGCUCUGUCACUUCUCAUUUGCUUUUAAUACCAAUCUCAUGUUUCAUCCUCCUUCUGAAUAGUCAUAUCCAGUCUUCUCUAAAUCUUUUAAUUAUUGUUUCUUUCAUUUGACUACAGACCAAAGAUUUAUAGCUGUGUUUUCUACCAUUUCACACUUGAAAACAAGAAAAAGUUUUUCUAUUCUCACAGAACCAAGAAUUGUGAGAAAGGCUAAAUGUGGGAUCGUGAAUGAUUUCUAUUUCCAUCCUUUUUACAUGCUAGAAGAUUGAAGUGCUUCAUUUGAUCAAAUAGAAAAACAGAGGUCAGCUUCUUGUUCUAACUCUCCCUUUUAUUAAUUCGUCCCUUUUUUCUUUUCUUGCUCAGGCCAGAUUCAUGUCAAAACUCUACUCUUAUCUAAGAUUUUGUCAGUUUUCGUGACUGGAAAUGUUUUAAAUGGAAAAAGAUCUAUUUUCUAAAUCAUUUGACGUGUUAUUCUCUGUUUUAUCAGUGAAAUCCGCAUCACGAUAAAUCUGAAGCGUCUGGAACAGUCCAAAGCUUUUUUCAGUCUCUUGUUCUUUUAUAGAUUUAACAUAUAUUGACUGUAAGCGUUUAUUUUUUAAUUUUUAUUUUCAGUAUAUUUUAAUUUGUUAUAACAAGUUAUAAUAUAUCUUAUUUUUAGAUUAUCAAUUCCAUUAUUUAUAAAUAGUUAGUACUUGCUAGAUAACCUGAUAGUAAAAGACAUUUUAUUACGUUACUAUCUCGUUGUUGUACAAUGGAGUAUUAAACUUGUUACUAUUUAGUGCUUUUUUAAGCUGAUUGUGUAGGUCUAUUGGAAACAACAUUACAAAACAGGUGUUUGACUGCGUCAAAUGGUUAAAGUUCUUUAUUUUUGGGAGGGGUAAUUUGUCUAAAUUAACCUUUGAACAUGAACUAUAUUUAUAGUGAAACAGUGACUCCUUUUCCCUGAUUGCACUUUUCAUUCAAAGACGAGUUUGACAAUUGUGGAGUCAGAUUUUGAGCUACUAUAUUGGGCUCUGAGCUAAGUAGGAGGCUUGGUAAAUAGUCUCUGGGACCACUUUUCUGAUUGAUUAAAAAUAAAAAAAACUAUAGUCUAUCUGAUAUUUGGAAUUGUUGGAUUUUAGGUUCUGUUGCUCCAUUUAUGUUCCUUCUGGCCACUAUAUGGAUUGAGCAAAUCAAAACUCCAAUUAGCACUUCUUUUUAAUCUGAAAAUCUGGCUGCAUCAAUUUUGUUUUUGGUAAUUAAACAAAUUUUAUUAAUCACCUAAGUAUAUAUUUACAAAGCCACAGCUAAAAUAAACACAUUUAGCUGUUCAUAGAGGUCUAACCAAGAGAGAAUAAAACCCAUGACUCUCGGGAUAAAGUUUGGGAUUAACUUUAUUCAUGUUUGAUUUGGGAUAUUAGCUAAUCUUAGGAUAACUCUUAUACUAAAAUUGUGGGAUUAGCUAUCCCAUAUAAAAGGUGGGAUAGCUAAUCCCAUGGGAUAUUCCACCAUUAUACCAAAACGACCCCUAAGAGUUACAAACUAAGGUGAGAAUAUGUAUCACUUAAUUAUGGUUAAACAGUAAAAAUGUAUACAUGGCAAGACUCAAAUAUAUAUCCGGAAUUUAUUGGUUUGAUCUAAAUGAUGAAUAAGAACAAAAUAAAGGUCUAGUUUUUUGGCAGAUAGUAACUUUUUUGCCUCAGCUAUUGAAUUUUUUUAGAUCUAGUAGCAGUAAUUUAUUUUUUCCAUGUUUGUCAAUUUCAACUGCAUCUUAUAUUUCAGGCUUUGUAAAUGGCUUACUAGUUCCCCUAAUAUUUGAGGCACAUUUUGGGCAAUAUUAAUCAGGAUUGACAAAUAUGGUGAUCAUGAGACAGACAUUAGCCUGCUGCACGAGAAACAGAGAGUUUAGCAUUGACUUUACUGAACAAGAGAGUGAGAUUCCCCCUUCUCUCCUUCUUAUUUGUUUUUACGGUAUGACGUGGUGAUUCUCCCUCCCUAUAAUUGAGGCAAAUCCAACAUUUUUAAUCAAUCAAUGCGGAAAACCAUCAUACCUACUACUACUUUGUGGCAGUGGGCAUUGGCUAUAAAAUUAGAAACAUUAAAAUAUUGCCUUAGUAUUAUUUUGAAGAUUUACAAAUAUAUAUGCUUAAAAAUAACCAUUACUUAGUGAACUCUGCAGAUGUCUUUGCACAAAAUGAGGAGUAUUCUUUUCCACAAGUGAAUGCUAACAUAUUGUCUAGAUGUUUAGUGUAACUUUCUUGACUUCUGUGAGCCAGAUGAUACUAGAAUGUAGACAUUUCCAUGUUAGUUAUAGGAGUUAGUGUAUGGUCAAAACUGAUUUGAGUCAGUCGUACGGACUGGUCGAGACGAUAAUGUUUCGAUCAAAGGAUAUCUGCAUGACAAGCUCGGUCAAGGUCCGAAGUAAGGGCGGCAAGCUUCGAGCUCUAAGACCGAUCAAUGACAAGCUCGAUAUCAUUAUCGAGCUCAUAUUCAAAUCGAACUAUGAGGCAAAGCGGGGAUUAUCGAAGAUGCAUGGACCGACCAACACUUACCCCGAAUACCGAGACGCCAAGUCAGAAUCGAGCUCGAAUCAAGGCUGAGGGCUCGAUCCAAUACCGAGCUCGAGCCAGUAUCGAGCUCGCAGACUAGGGCCGUUGCAACCGCACUAUGGGAGAGAAUCUUGACGGAAAUCGAGAAAAAGACAAUACAUCAUGGACUCUCCACUACGCAUUUUUUAUUGUAUAUAAAGUAGGAUCUCUCUACUAUAAGAGGGACAUGGAUUGUAAGCAAGCGUGAGACUGGAACAAAAGAUCACUUCUCAUAUUGAAAGAUAUCCCCUUGUGUUUGUUUUACUUUAUCUUAUUCAUUCUUUUUGCUUACUAUUCUCAUUCUCAUAGUCAAGAAUACACAUAUUUCUAUUUCUCUACACGAUUUAUAUCAAAUUAUAUCGCGUAUCCUUAGAACCA
rnacentral:lncRNA from 1 species